rnacentral:rRNA from 1 species
AACGAACGCUGGCGGCAGGCUUAACACAUGCAAGUCGAACGCCCCGCAAGGGGAGUGGCAGACGGGUGAGUAACGCGUGGGAAGGUACCUUUCAGUUCGGAAUAACUCAGGGAAACGUGUGCUAAUACCGGAUACGCCCGUAAGGGGAAAGAUUUAUCGCUGAAAGAUCGGCCCGCGUUGGAUUAGCUAGUUGGUGGGGUAAUGGCCUACCAAGGCGACGAUCCAUAGCUGGUCUGGGAGGAUGAUCAGCCACACUGGGACUGAGACACGGCCCAGACUCCUACGGGAGGCAGCAGUGGGGAAUAUUGGACAAUGGGCGAAAGCCUGAUCCAGCCAUGCCGCGUGAGUGAUGAAGGCCCUAGGGUUGUAAAGCUCUUUCACCGAUGAAGAUAAUGACGGUAGUCGGAGAAGAAGCCCCGGCUAACUUCGUGCCAGCCGCCGCGGUAA